rnacentral:rRNA from 1 species
UAAUGUAUGGGGAUCUGCCCGAUAGAGGGGAAUAACUACUGGAAACGGUGGCUAAUACCGCAUAAUGUCUACGGACCAAAGCAGGGGCUCUUCGGACCUUGCACUAUCGGAUGAACCCAUAUGGGAUUAGCUAGUAGGUGGGGUAAAGGCUCACCUAGGCGCGAUCUCUAGCUGGUCUGAGAGGAUGAUCAGCCACACUGGGACUGAGACACGGCCCAG